rnacentral:rRNA from 1 species
ACGGAAGGCAGCAGUGGGGAAUAUUGGACAAUGGGCGAAAGCCUGAUCCAGCAACGCCGCGUGAGGGAUGACGGCCUUCGGGUUGUAAACCUCUUUCAGCAGGGACGAAGCGAAAGUGACGGUACCUGCAGAAGAAGGACCGGCCAACUACGUGCCAGCAGCCGCGGUAAUACGUAGGGUCCGAGCGUUGUCCGGAAUUAUUGGGCGUAAAGGGCUCGUAGGCGGUUUGUCGCGUCGGGAGUGAAAACUCAGGGCUCAACCCUGAGCGUGCUUCCGAUACGGGCAAACUAGAGGUAUGCAGGGGAGAAUGGAAUUCCUGGUGUAGCGGUGGAAUGCGCAGAUAUCAGGAGGAACACCGGUGGCGAAGGCGGUUCUCUGGGCAUUACCUGACGCUGAGGAGCGAAAGCAUGGGGAGCGAACAGGAUUAGAUACCCUGGUA